rnacentral:rRNA from 1 species
GAUGAACGCUGGCGGCGUGCCUAAUACAUGCAAGUCGAGCGAACGGACGAGAAGCUUGCUUCUCUGAUGUUAGCGGCGGACGGGUGAGUAACACGUGGAUAACCUACCUAUAAGACUGGGAUAACUUCGGGAAACCGGAGCUAAUACCGGAUGAUAUUUUGAACCGCAUGGUUCAAAAGUGAAAGACGGUCUUGCUGUCACUUAUAGAUGGAUCCGCGCUGCAUUAGCUAGUUGGUAAGGUAACGGCUUACCAAGGCAACGAUGCAUAGCCGACCUGAGAGGGUGAUCGGCCACACUGGAACUGAGACACGGUCCAGACUCCUACGGGAGGCAGCAGUAGGGAAUCUUCCGCAAUGGGCGAAAGCCUGACGGAGCAACGCCGCGUGAGUGAUGAAGGUCUUCGGAUCGUAAAACUCUGUUAUUAGGGAAGAACAUAUGUGUAAGUAACUGUGCACAUCUUGACGGUACCUAAUCAGAAAGCCAAGGAUAACUACGUG